GAGUUUGAUCGUGGCUCAGAUUGAACGCUGGCGGCAUGCCUUACACAUGCAAGUCGAACGGCAGCAUGAUCUAGCUUGCUAGAUUGAUGGCGAGUGGCGAACGGGUGAGUAAUACAUCGGAACGUGCCCUGUAGUGGGGGAUAACUAGUCGAAAGAUUAGCUAAUACCGCAUACGACCUGAGGGUGAAAGUGGGGGACCGCAAGGCCUCAUGCUAUAGGAGCGGCCGAUGUCUGAUUAGCUAGUUGGUGGGUAAAGGCCCACCAAGGCGACGAUCAGUAGCUGGUCUGAGAGGACGAUCAGCCACACUGGGACCGAGACACGGCCCAGACUCCUACGGAGGCAGCAGUGGGGAAUUUUGGACAAUGGGCGAAAGCCUGAUCCAGCAAUGCCGCG
rnacentral:rRNA from 1 species